rnacentral:rRNA from 1 species
ACGACCAAUGUGGUGUUCGGGCAGAUUCUCAGCAGCGGACCAUCUCACAGAAGUCCCUUGGAACAGGGCGUGAUACAGGGUGACAACCCCGUACGUGAGGUCAGUACGCUGUGCAUCUGUUCCAGAGUAGCGGGGGUUGGAAAUCCCUCGCCAACAACGCAGGCAUCGACUGCGAAGGCUAAACACUCCUCGAGACCGAUAGUGCACAAGUAGUGUGAACGAACGCUGCAAAGUACCCUCAGAAGGGAGGUGAAAUAGAGCAUGAACUCAGUUGGCGAUGGAGCGAUAGGGCAUACAAGGUCCGUAGACGAAUGACCGAGACGCGAGUCUCCUGUAAGACUCUACGGAAGCCGAUGUUCUAUCGUACGUUUUGAAAAACGAGCCAGGGAGUGUGUCUACAUGGCAAGUCUAACCCGAGCAUCGGGGGAGGCACAGGGAAACCGACAUGGCCGCAGCCUCACGGCGAGGGCCGCCGUCUUCAAGGGCGGGGAGCCACGUGGACACGACCCGAAUCCGGACGAUCUACGCAUGGACAAGGUGAAGCGUGCCGAAAGGCACGUGGAGGCCUGUUAGAGUUGGUGUCCUACAAUACCCUCUCGUGAUCUAUGUGUAGGGGUGAAAGGCCCAUCGAGUCCGGCAACAGCUGGUUCCAAUCGAAACAUGUCGAAGCAUGACCUCCGCCGAGGUAGUUCGUGGGGUAGAGCGACCGAUUGGUGUGACCGCCUCCGAGAGGAGUCGGCACACCUGUCAAACUCCAAACCUACGAACGCCGCUUGACGCGGGGAUUCCGGUGUGCGGGGUAAGCCUGUGCACCAGGAGGGGAACAACCCAGAGAUAGGUUAAGGUCCCCAAGUGUGGAUUAAGUGUAAUCCUCUGAAGGUGGUCUCGAGCCCUAGACAGCCGGGAGGUGAGCUUAGAAGCAGCUACCCUCUAAGAAAAGCGUAACAGCUUACCGGCCGAGGUUUGAGGCGCCCAAAAUGAUCGGGACUCAAAUCCACCACCGAGACCUAUCCGUACCACUCAUCUGGUAAUCGAGUAGAUUGGCGCUCUAAUUGGAUGGAAGCAGGGGUGAGAACUCCUGUGGACCGAUUAGUGACGAAAAUCCUGGCCAUAGUAGCAGCGAUAGUCGGGUGAGAACCCCGACGGCCUAAUGGAUAAGGGUUCCUCAGCACUGCUGAUCAGCUGAGGGUUAGCCGGUCCUAAGUCUCNNNNNNNNNNNNNNNNNNNNNNNNNNNNNNNNNNNNNNNNNNNNNNNNNNNNNNNNNNNNNNNNNNNNNNNNNNNNNNNNNNNNNNNNNNNNNNNNNAGACGAAAUGGGAAACGGGUUAAUAUUCCCGUGCUAUCAUACACUCAAAGCUGACGCCCUGGGGUCGACCAAGCUGGGCUAUCGCCCAGUCGAACCGUCCAACUCCGUGGAAGCCGUAACGGCACGAAGCGGACGAACGGCGGGAUAGAGAAAUUUGGUUCAACCUGGGGCCCGUGAAAAGGCGAGUAUGAUAUCCGUACCGAGAACCGACACAGGUGUCCAUGGCGGCGAAAGCCAAGGCCUGUCGGGAGCAACCGACGUUAGGGAAUUCGGCAAGUUAGUCCCGUACCUUCGGAAUAAGGGAUGCCUGCUCCGGAACGGAGCAGGUCGCAGUGACUCGGAAGCUCGGACUGUCUAGUAACAACACAGGUGACUGCAAAUCCGCAAGGACUCGUACAGUCACUGAAUCCUGCCCAGUGCAGGUAUCUGAACACCUCGUACAAGAGGACGAAGGACCUGUCAACGGCGGGGGUAACUAUGACCCUCUUAAGGUAGCGUAGUACCUUGCCGCAUCAGUAGCGGCUUGCAUGAAUGGAUUAACCAGAGCUUCACUGUCCCAACGUUGGGCCCGGUGAACUGUACAUUCCAGUGCGGAGUCUGGAGACACCCAGGGGGAAGCGAAGACCCUAUGGAGCUUUACUGCAGGCUGUCGCUGAGACGUGGUCGCCGAUGUGCAGCAUAGGUAGGAGACAUUACACAGGUACCCGCGCUAGCGGGCCACCGAGUCAACAGUGAAAUACUACCCGUCGGUGACUGCGACUCUCACUCCGGGAGGAGGACACCGGUAGCCGGGCAGUUUGACUGGGGCGGUACGCGCUCGAAAAGAUAUCGAGCGCGCCCUAAGGUCAUCUCAGCCGGGACAGAGACCCGGCGAAGAGUGCAAGAGCAAAAGAUGACUUGACAGUGUUCUUCCCAACGAGGAACGCUGACGCGAAAGCGUGGUCUAGCGAACCAAUUAGCCUGCUUGAUGCGGGCAAUUGAUGACAGAAAAGCUACCCUAGGGAUAACAGAGUCGUCACUCGCAAGAGCACAUAUCGACCGAGUGGCUUGCUACCUCGAUGUCGGUUCCCUCCAUCCUGCCCGUGCAGAAGCGGGCAAGGGUGAGGUUGUUCGCCUAUUAAAGGAGGUCGUGAGCUGGGUUUAGACCGUCGUGAGACAGGUCGGCUGCUAUCUACUGGGUGUGUUAUGGUGUCUGACAAGAACGAUCGUAUAGUACGAGAGGAACUACGAUUGGCUGCCACUGGUGUACCGGUUGUCCGAGAGGGCACGUGCCGGGUAGCCACGCAGCACGGGGUAAGAGCUGAACGCAUCUAAGCUCGAAACCCACUUGGAAAAGAGACACCGCCGAGAGUCCGCGUAGAAGACGCGGUCGAUAGACUCGGGGUGUGCGCGUCGAGGUAACGAGACGUUCAGCCCACGAGCACUAACAACUCGAAGCCAUCAUUCA